UGGGGAAUUUUGGACAAUGGACGCAAGUCUGAUCCAGCCAUGCCGCGUGCGGGAAGAAGGCCUUCGGGUUGUAAACCGCUUUUGUCAGGGAAGAAACGAGUUUCUCUAAUACAGAGACUUAAUGACGGUACCUGAAGAAUAAGCACCGGCUAACUACGUGCCAGCAGCCGCGGUAAUACGUAGGGUGCAAGCGUUAAUCGGAAUUACUGGGCGUAAAGCGUGCGCAGGCGGUUAUGCAAGACAGAGGUGAAAUCCCCGGGCUCAACCUGGGAACUGCCUUUGUGACUGCAUAGCUAGAGUACGGUAGAGGGGGAUGGAAUUCCGCGUGUAGCAGUGAAAUGCGUAGAUAUGCGGAGGAACACCGAUGGCGAAGGCAGGUUACUACUUGUGGAUUGACGCUGAUGGACGAAAGCGUGGGGAGCGAACA
rnacentral:rRNA from 1 species